UGGGCUGCGUCCACAGGCACAGCCGGUUUGAGCAUUUUGACUGAAUUGCCAAACCAGUUGUGCCUGUGGGCACAACCUU
ensembl:miRNA